UUGUGGACUUCAAGCGUGUACUGAGAACAUACGCUAGCCCCAGGGUUGUGGCUCAAGGCCACUCAGGUUCUCAUGACGGCUAUGACGUCAUCUACUAUGACGACUUCAUUGGCAAUGCAGACAAAACAUAUGAAAAUCAAAGUGUGAACAACGCAGAGGACCGUAUAUACACGACCUCCAUGGCCCUGAACGCCCUACUGACCACCUGGACAACACAAGACCAGAACACGGAGAGGGUCAUCUGGGAUAAAGAUACACCCGCUGAUGUAAAGACUACAGUUGACAGAAUCGUCACCUGGUUGUAUUAUUUCGGUUUGUUUGCUGGGUUCGAACCGUGGAAUGCUUUUUUCUCCGGCUCCUACAAGGGAGUUA